AAUAUUGGACAAUGGGGGCAACCCUGAUCCAGCCAUGCCGCGUGUGUGAAGAAGGUCUUCGGAUUGUAAAGCACUUUAAGUUGUGAGGAAGGGCUUUAGGUUAAUACCCUGCAGUUUUUACGUUACCAACAGAAUAAGCACCGGCCAACUCCGUUCCAGCAGCCGCGGUAAUACAGAGGGUGCAAGCGUUAAUCGGAAUUACUGGGCGUAAAGCGCGCGUAGGUGGUUCAGUAAGAUGGGUGUGAAAUCACCGGGCGUAACCUGGGGACUGCUGUCAUAACUGCUGAGCUAGAGUACGGUAGAGGGUAGUGGAAUUUCCUGUGUAGCGGUGAAAUGCGUAGAUAUAGGAAGGAACACCAGUGGCGAAGGCGACUACCUGGACUGAUACUGACACUGAGGUGCGAAAGCGUGGGGAGCAAAC
rnacentral:rRNA from 1 species